rnacentral:antisense_RNA from 2 species
CUUCACCGAGCCCAGCCACAGCGGCUGCUCCGCCGUGUGCUCGCGCCCGUAGGUCGCCAGCAGGGCCUGCGCCUC